UCCACUGGAAAUGUUUAUUGCUUUCGUUUUCGUCGUGUUACUUGACGUCGUGGUUGAAUUUGACCAAAAGCACGAUCGAACCGAGGUCACUUAACAGUUAAAGAUAGCUUUUAAAGAAAGUAUACAGGGGAAUGGGGAAUAUAGAGUCGGAACCAAUUUACAGCAGAAAUGAUUUUGAACUGGUUAUACGAACCAGCAAAGAAUUGGAAUUUAUUCUAAAAGAACAGUUUAAUGCAACAGGAAAUGGGCUAGGUGAUCUCAUAGAGAGUGCUUGUACUCAUGCAGCCAGGCCACUGCCAUUGCCGUUAAAGAAUAAAAUGCAUCGCUUGAAGCGUGAGAGGAACAAGCUUAUUCACGAUAUCAACUACAACAACAUUCAAAAUAGAGAAAGUUUCAUCAGUGAUUUUGAGUCUGCUCGUCGGGAACUUAAGAAUUUGUUGCCUAGAAGCUACAGCAAUGAACCUAGUGGUUGUGGGGUUCAAUAAAUUAUUUAGUCCAAAUUAUGAAAAAAGUUUUCCCCCCAAUUUUGAACUACUGUCCUGACACAAACAUAGGAAGGCUUAUCAAAGAUCUCUGUAGUUUGAGAUAUCUAGUGAAAUGGUAAUAUUUCAAUUUAAAAAGAGGAAAGGAUCAUUUAAGCACUACAAUUGUAUCUGUCAGAGAGAGAGAGAGAGAGA